rnacentral:rRNA from 1 species
AGGUGUUGCACGACUGUCGUCAGCUCGUGUCGUAAGAUAUUUGGUUUAUUCCUUUAACGAGCGUAACUCUUAUCUUUAAUCUUUACUUUUGUUUUCAGGAUUUGAAAAUAUAAGCUUUAAAGAGACUGUCAGUGAUAAACUGAAGGAAGUGAGAAUUAAGUCAAGUCCCUGUGGCCCUUAUGGGUUGGGCUACACACGUGCUACAAUGAAAAUCACAGAAAGUUACUUUAAUUUUUUGAUGUUUUGUUAAUCUUUAAAAAUUUUCGUAGUUCGAAUUAUAAGCUGCAACUCGCUUAUAUGAAGUUGGAAUCACUAGUAAUCGCAAAUCAGAAUGUUGCGGUGAAUAUGUAUCUUGGCCUUGUACACACCGCCCGUCACACCAUGGGAGUCUAUUGCACCAGAAGUAGGUAGCCUAACGAAAGAGGGCGCUUACCACGGUGUGGUCGAUGACUGGGGUGAAGUCGUAACAAGGUAGCCGUAGGGGAACCUGCGGCUGGAUCACCUCCUU